rnacentral:rRNA from 1 species
UAAUACGGAGGAGGCAAGCGUUAUCCGGAAUUAUUGGGCGUAAAGCGUCCGCAGGUGGCACCUCAAGUCUGCUGUCAAAGACCGGGGCUUAACCCCAGAAAGGCAGUGGAAACUGAAGUGCUAGAGUGCAGUAGGGGUAGAGGGAAUUCCCGGUGUAGCGGUGAAAUGCGUAGAGAUCGGGAAGAACAUCGGUGGCGAAAGCGCUCUGCUGGACUGCAACUGACACUCAGGGACGAAAGCUAGGGGAGCGAAUGGGAUUAGAUACCCCAGUAGUCCUAGCCGUAAACGAUGGAUACUAGGUGUGGCUUGUAUCGACCCGAGCCGUGCCGUAGCUAACGCGUUAAGUAUCCCGCCUGGGGAGUACGCACGCAAGUGUG